rnacentral:lncRNA from 10 species
UUUGCACUAACUUCAGGAACCAGCUCAUGAUCUCAGGAUGUAUGGAAAAAUAAUCUUUGUAUUACUAUUGUCAGAGAAACGGGACAACUUGUCCAUCGUUUCACUGUACCAGCAUGAGGAUGUGGCCUGCAUGCUGCCUGAUCUUGCCUAGAACCGGCUGCACCUGCUGUUCUCUUGUUUAUGCAAACUGGCUGCACCUGCUAUUCCUUUGCUUAUGC